rnacentral:lncRNA from 1 species
AUAUAUAUAUAACAUUACUUAACAUCAUAUAAUGCAAACAAUAGUUGAAUCCUCUAGACCCCUAUUUUCGGUUAAGAUGAAAUAUCCUAACUAUCACAUAAGACUCAAUUCAAACAGACGGAUCAUGAUUCGAAACUAAAAUAACAUAAGAAGAAUUCUACACUAGUAUGAGAUUUACAGAAUAGACCCUCACCUUUGCCACGGGUUCUGAAGAAACCUGAGAAAACACCAAAUGACCUUGACGGCUCUAAAACAUCAACUCUGAACUCUCU